rnacentral:rRNA from 1 species
UGCGUAGGCGGGGCAGUCAGUCAGUGGUGAAAUCCUGCGGCUUAACCGUAGAACUGCCAUUGAUACUGUUGCCCUUGAGUAUAGUUGAAGUGGGCGGAAUAUGUAAUGUAGCGGUGAAAUGCAUAGAGAUUACAUAGAACACCAAUUGCGAAGGCAGCUCACUAAGCUAUCACUGACGCUGAGGCACGAAAGCGUGGGGAGCGAACAGGAUUAGAUACCCUGGUAGUCC